GGCUGCAUCAGGAUUCAGCAGGCUGGUAGCAAAAUGUACAGAGGGUCAGAGAAGCAUAUUCUAGUUCACAGUUCGUACCACAGUAGACAACAGGUAAACAGUGUUGGACUUCAGCUUUAGUCUGUGGAGAGGGACCCGGCUAGGAGUCGACAACCGUCACGUCAGGCUCCCACAGCGAACUAAUUGCAGCUGGGAGCCGAUAUAGUCACUACAGCCCCCCUGGAAGAAGGAAGGAGGAACUGUGGCAGGCUCCUAUGGAGAACUACAGCAGAAGGGGACAAUAAUCAAUACAUUGCCGCUUUAGGGGAAGAACAAUUAAGAGUCUCAUAUGGAGCUACUGCAAAGAAGAAGGCAGAAGUCAACACAGCCCCCCGUUGGAAAUGACUGGCCUGCAAUGAGUUCUACAGUCGACACAGCCCCCCGUUGGGUCACCCCCAGAGAGAGACUGUAAAGCUGACAGCCCCAUGGAACUACAGAACAGAAGUCUGGAGCCCAACUACCGUCUGGACUGGAGCGCAAAUGGAGGCCCUCAUCAGGGAUUUAAACCAGUGAGACCCAGACAGGACACAGAUCCCCAACCAGAAUCCAGUACAGAGGGCUACACUGUCAACAGACAGUACAGUCGCAACCUCAGCCUCUCACAAGUGAUUGGAGUCAACAAAAUGCUGUGUUCAGCAGCAUUACUACAUAGUAUUCCCAUGUUGAAGUCUUGAGGGGCUCAUAAAAUACUCCAAUAAAUGUUUUGGCAUGAAUAAAGUUAUUUUUUUUAAUGUG